GAUGAACGCUGGCGGCGUGCCUAAUACAUGCAAGUCGAGCGAACAGACGAGGAGCUUGCUCCUCUGACGUUAGCAGCGGACGGGUGAGUAACACGUGGAUAACCUACCUAUAAGACUGGGAUAACUUCGGGAAACCGGAGCUAAUACCGGAUAAUAUAUUGAACCGCAUGGUUCCAUAGUGAAAGACGGUUUUGCUGUCACUUAUAGAUUGAUCCGCGCCGCAUUAGCUAGUUGGUAGGUAACGGCUUACCAAGGCAACGAUGCGUAGCCGACCUGAGAGGGUGAUCGGCCACACGGGAACUGAGACACGGUCCAGACUCCUACGGGAGGCAGCAGUAGGGAAUCUUCCGCAAUGGGCGAAAGCCUGACGGAGCAACGCCGCGUGAGUGAUGAAGGUCUUCGGAUCGUAAAACUCUGUUAUUAGGGAAGAACAAAUGUGUAAGUAACUAUGCACGUCUUGACGGUACCUAAUCAGAAAGCCACGGCUAACUACGUG
rnacentral:rRNA from 1 species